UCAUUAAAGCGUUGCCGACGUCGGCCCCGGCCGUUCGGCUUGAAAUAUAGCCUGGACGGUGCUGGAGGUCGCCGGCACUUGCCCAUUCUUGCCUACUGACCCAGUUGCCUCGGCGAGCCGUGCCACUCGUGGCAGACCGGAAGCCGUCUGAACCCCUAGGGUUCAGGCGGCCCUGGCCAGUGCCCGCCGACGGACAGACUUAAAAUCUUUAUAUAUUGGCCGUCUGAGCGUAUAAAGCAAAUCAAUUAAAACUUUCAACAACGGAUCUCUUGGUUCCGGCAUCGAUGAAGAACGCAGCGAAAUGCGAUAAGUAAUGUGAAUUGCAGAAUUCCGUGAAUCAUCGAAUCUUUGAACGCACAUUGCGCCCCCUGGUAUUCCGGGGGGCAUGCCUGUUCGAGCGUCAUUGCAACCCUCAAGCUCGGCUUGUGUGAUGGGCGAUCGUCCUUCCCCUAGGGGCGGGACGAGUCCGAAAAGCAGUGGCUAGGCCGCGAUUCCGGCGCCUGAGCGAAUGGGAUUUCCACCGCUUCUAGGACCGGCCGGUACUUGGCCUUUAAACACGGUCUUAACUGACCAUCUAGGUUGACCUCGGAUCAAGUAGGGAUACCCGCUGAACUUAAGCAUAUCA
rnacentral:misc_RNA from 1 species